rnacentral:rRNA from 1 species
ACAUGACAGUCGAACGGCAGCACAGUAAGAGCUUGCUCUUAUGGGUGGCGAGUGGCGGACGGGUGAGGAAUACAUCGGAAUCUACUUUUUCGUGGGGGAUAACGUAGGGAAACUUACGCUAAUACCGCAUACGACCUACGGGUGAAAGCAGGGGAUCUUCGGACCUUGCGCGAUUGAAUGAGCCGAUGUCGGAUUAGCUAGUUGGCGGGGUAAAGGCCCACCAAGGCGACGAUCCGUAGCUGGUCUGAGAGGAUGAUCAGCCACACUGGAACUGAGACACGGUCCAGACUCCUACGGGAGGCAGCAGUGGGGAAUAUUGGACAAUGGGCGCAAGCCUGAUCCAGCCAUACCGCGUGGGUGAAGAAGGCCUUCGGGUUGUAAAGCCCUUUUGUUGGGAAAGAAAUCCAGCCGGCUAAUACCUGGUUGGGAUGACGGUACCCAAAGAAUAAGCACCGGCUAACUUCGUGCCAGCAGCCGCGGUAAUACGAAGGGUGCAAGCGUUACUCGGAAUUACUGGGCGUAAAGCGUGCGUAGGUGGUUGUUUAAGUCUGUUGUGAAAGCCCUGGGCUCAACCUGGGAACUGCAGUGGAAACUGGACAACUAGAGUGUGGUAGAGGGUAGCGGAAUUCCCGGUGUAGCAGUGAAAUGCGUAGAGAUCGGGAGGAACAUCCA